rnacentral:rRNA from 2 species
ACAUUUGAGUGAGUGGCGAACUGGUGAGUAACACGUGGGAAACCUGCCCAGAAGCGGGGGAUAACACCUGGAAACAGAUGCUAAUACCGCAUAACAACUUGGACCGCAUGGUCCGAGUUUGAAAGAUGGCUUCGGCUAUCACUUUUGGAUGGUCCCGCGGCGUAUUAGCUAGAUGGUGAGGUAACGGCUCACCAUGGCAAUGAUACGUAGCCGACCUGAGAGGGUAAUCGGCCACAUUGGGACUGAGACACGGCCCAAACUCCUACGGGAGGCAGCAGUAGGGAAUCUUCCACAAUGGACGAAAGUCUGAUGGAGCAACGCCGCGUGAGUGAAGAAGGGUUUCGGCUCGUAAAACUCUGUUGUUAAAGAAGAACAUAUCUGAGAGUAACUGUUCAGGUAUUGACGGUAUUUAACCAGAAAGCCACGGCUAACUACGUGCCAGCAGCCGCGGUAAUACGUAGGUGGCAAGCGUUGUCCGGAUUUAUUGGGCGUAAAGCGAGCGCAGGCGGUUUUUUAAGUCUGAUGUGAAAGCCUUCGGCUCAACCGAAGAAGUGCAUCGGAAACUGGGAAACUUGAGUGCAGAAGAGGACAGUGGAACUCCAUGUGUAGCGGUGAAAUGCGUAGAUAUAUGGAAGAACACCAGUGGCGAAGGCGGCUGUCUGGUCUGUAACUGACGCUGAGGCUCGAAAGUAUGGGUAGCAAACAGGAUUAGAUACCCUGGUAGUCCAUACCGUAAACGAUGAAUGCUAAGUGUUGGAGGGUUUCCGCCCUUCAGUGCUGCAGCUAACGCAUUAAGCAUUCCGCCUGGGGAGUACGGCCGCAAGGCUGAAACUCAAAGGAAUUGACGGGGGCCCGCACAAGCGGUGGAGCAUGUGGUUUAAUUCGAAGCUACGCGAAGAACCUUACCAGGUCUUGACAUACUAUGCAAAUCUAAGAGAUUAGACGUUCCCUUCGGGGACAUGGAUACAGGUGGUGCAUGGUUGUCGUCAGCUCGUGUCGUGAGAUGUUGGGUUAAGUCCCGCAACGAGCGCAACCCUUAUUAUCAGUUGCCAGCAUUAAGUUGGGCACUCUGGUGAGACUGCCGGUGACAAACCGGA